rnacentral:rRNA from 1 species
GACGAACGCUGGCGGCGUGCUUAACACAUGCAAGUCGAACGGAAAGGCCCUUCUUUUGUGGGGUGCUCGAGGGGCGAACGGGUGAGUAACACGUGAGUAACCUGCCCUUGACGUUGGGAUAACUUCAGGAAACUGGGGCUAAUACCGGAUAGGAGCUCCUGCUGCAGGGUGGGGGUUGGAAAGUUUAGGCGGUUGGGGAUGGACUCGCGGCUUAUGAGGUUGGGGGUGGGGUAGUGGCUUACCAAGGCUUUGACGGGUAGCCGGCCUGUGAAGGUGACCGGCCACAUUGGGACUGCGAUACGGCCCAGACUCCUACGGGAGGCAGUAGUGGGGAAUAUUGCACAAUGGGCGCAAGCCUGAUGCAGCAAUGCCGCGUGCGGGAUGACGGCCUUCGGGUUGUAAACCGCUUUCGCCUGUGACGAAGCGUGAGUGACGGUAAUGGGUAAAGAAGCACCGGCUAACUACGUG